UGAGGAAUUUUCUGCAAUGGGCGAAAGCCUGACAGAGCAAUACCGCGUGAGGGACGAAAGCCUGCGGGUUGUAAACCUCUUUUCUCAAGGAAGAAGAUCUGACGUUACUUGAGGAAUAAGCAUCGGCUAACCCUGUGCCAGCAGCCGCGGUAAUACAGGGGAUGCAAGUGUUAUUCGGAAUCAUUGGGCGUAAAGCGUCUGUAGGUUGGCGAUCAAGUCCUUUGUUAAAUUUUUGGGCUUAACCUAAAGCAUGCAAAAGAAACUAAUUGCCUAGAGUCUGUUAGAGGUAAAGGGAAUUUCCAGUGGAGCGGUGAAAUGCGUAGAUAUUGGAAGGAACACCAAAGGCGAAGGCACUUUACUGGGUCAGCACUGACACUGAGAGACGAAAGCUAGGGGAGCAAACGGGAUUAGAUACCCCCGUAGUCC
rnacentral:rRNA from 1 species